CUUUUAGGGAGAGUAUGGACAAUGUUGAUUGUUUUGGUUGGGAGAUUAAAGGGGGAAAUAGUUGUUCUUUUUACGCAACUUUCAUCUGGCUUACUUCUCAUCACUGGUUGUUGCUACCUCAGCUCUCACAGAGCAAUAAAAAGCAGAAAAAGCAAGAGAAUGAGUCACAUUGGUAAUCCUCUCAAGCAUCCUUCAUUUUAUUUCUUUUAAAACCUAGAACAAUGCCAAAAUCAAAGAGUUAUAAGACCUCACUACAUUUAAACUAAGCUUCCCCUCAACCACUUUCAAAAUCAUCUGUCAUCAGAAGGUUCACAGACCACAAUACUCAUAUAGUUGAAACAUCUUACGCUGCUUAAUCAAUGGUUUCCUAGGAAUUUUCUAUCUUCAUCAACUUCCAGGGAGAUCCCUCUGGAUAUUUAUGUCCUAGAAAUUGGCAUCCACAAGCUAUGGUUGAUGCUGUCAUGGCACUUUAUAACCUGGAUCCAAUUCAUAGAGAAGGGUUAUACCAGGGUUACUCGAGCUUACUCUUCAAGGGAAUCCCAAGUCACAUAACAAAGCUUAGAUGUUGCUGAGGCUACUAAUAGAGUCUCCUUGCCCAAGCUCAUAUUUUCAACCUGAUACUUUGGAGAACAUUAUCUUGCAACAUUAUCUCUCAAAGGGAUGGCGAACAGCCGGGGAAGGCAAAGAAGAUGCUUGCCUGAUAUGGUACAAGUUAGCAUGGAGCAAAGCUUGAGACACUUACAACUAAGGGCUCUGGAGGACAUUUCUUAACUAGUGGAUUGAAUCACAAAGUGACCCCCGUACUUAGGUAUUCAAGGUACGUACAAGUCUAGGGUGACCACCUUAUUGUCAUGAGAAUUCAUGUGGUGAUUUUAUAUUGUGAUUCAUGUUACUUGGAAUUUUAUGGAUGCAUGUUUGAUUGCGUGAGACUAUGAGCAAGCAUGUUUUGGAUAUUAUUUAUGUUUGUUGAAUUGAACAAGCAUGUUAUGAUUGGUUAUGUUUGUUGAAUUUAAAUAACAAGCAUGUUGUCCAAGUAUGGUUAUGCAUUUAUGGUUUUAUUCGCAUGCAAGGAAUGAUUUAUGCUAUUGUACGUAAUGUCUAGAAUUUUAUGAGGCAAGUAUAUUGUGCCUAGUUGCACCAUUUUUAGUGACCACACAUGAAGGGUAUGCUCUUGUAAGCCACCACAUGUGUAGGGUAGACUUUUGAGUCAUGUUUACUAAGUUACAUACGAAGGGUAUGCUCAAGUGAGCCACCACAAAUGUAGAAUGAGUCAAGGUGAAUUGAAAUAGGAAUUAUUCGUGCCUAGUGCACAACCCGCAUGUUAACAGGCAUGUCGUGGACUCAACAUUAUGUUGAGAAGGAACAAUGGAAGUAAUUUCACUUGCGUCUUGAAUGUUUGACCAUAAGUCCUAAUGAUCCUAAAAUAAGUAUUAGUUGGUUGUUCGUUUAUUUAAUGCCUUGCUUGACUGUGUUCUGAGUCGGCUGUGUGAAUAAAAUAUUAAUAAACGUAAAAGCUGAAUAAGCUUCAAAACUCUUGGAACGUAUAUACCUUGAGUAUGAACAAUCGGGGGAGUACAUUACCAAGGGGUUUGUACUCCUAUGAAUGAUACAAGACGUUGUUUCAUUUCUUUUAUACGCUGGAAUUCUGUCGGUAUGGUCCGACAUCUGGGUUAAUAUUAAUAUUAUUAUUAUUAUUAUUAUUAUUAUUAUUAUUAUUAUUAUUAUUAUUAUUAUUAUUAUUAUUAUUAUUAUUAUUAUUAUUUUGGUGUUUGGUGUUUGGUGUUUGGUGGGCUCCCAACACCCUUCCUUAAUGGAUAUUUCUUUUGGGCUCGUUCGAAGCUUAUUCUAAUUAAUCUAUGAGUCAAGAUUCGUGUCAAGAGUCGAGUCUUGUCUCCAUGAUUAAUUGUUUACUUAGUUGGCUUUUGCAUGUGAUCUAAUUUAUCGUUGGAAUGAAGCAUGAUAUAUAUAGGAUUUCAUUAUAGCCUGUUUGUACUUAGCUUUCGCUGAUUAAGUGCUUUGUGUUUUGGUCAUGACCUUUGCCUUAAUGACCCUAUGAUGAUCCAUCAUUUGCACUUGCAUUGUUGUGGAGUGAAAUAUUAAUAAACAGGUUUGUAGAGAUGACUCGCAAGAGAAGUUAUCUAGCAUGGGGAUUGGUUGAGCGAGUUGUUUUCUCUUGCAUCAUUUUUAAACUCUAUUUAUUUAAUUAGUCUAGACUAUAACGUUUUUACUAGUUAAUGAAUUUUACUUUAAAGUAUUUGGUUUUGGGCCGUGAUGGUUCCAACUUGUAUGGAGGCCAUUAACUAUUAAUUAUCGUUUGAAAGUUAGUUAAUUCCGCUGCGUAAUUCUGGUACUAGCCUUAGCCGUUAUCACGGUGGAGGUAAUACUUCAGUAAUUCCUUUAUUUUAAGUUAGAAAAUGAUUUUAUAAAAGCAAGGAAUUAUUAAGGUGUUACAAGUAAUC